UUCAUUCUCUGCAGAGUUGGUAGUACCCGG
rnacentral:piRNA from 1 species